GACGAACGCUGGCGGCGUGCUUAACACAUGCAAGUCGAGCGGUAAGGCCUUUCGGGGUACGACGAGCGGCGAACGGGUGAGUAACACGUGGGCGACCUGCCCUCAGCUCUGGGAUAAGCCUGGGAAACUGGGUCUAAUACCGGAUAUGACCACAUGUCGCAUGGUGUGUGGUGGAAAGUUCGUUCUUAAAUUGGGCGCUUCGGCUGGGGAUGGGCCCGCGGCCUAUCAGCUUGNGGUGGGGUGAUGGCCUACCAAGGCGACGACGGGUAGCCGGCCUGAGAGGGCGACCGGCCACACUGGGACUGAGAUACGGCCCAGACUCCUACGGGA
rnacentral:rRNA from 1 species